UACGAAGGGGGCUAGCGUUGUUCGGAUUUACUGGGCGUAAAGCGCACGUAGGCGGAUCGUUAAGUCGGGGGUGAAAGCCCGGGGCUCAACCCCGGAGGGUCGACCGAUACUGGCAGACUAGAGUACAGAAGAGGUAACUGGAAUUCCCGGUGUAGCGGUGAAAUGCGCAGAUAUCAGGAAGAACACCUAUGGCGAAGGCAGCACUCUGGGACGGUACUGACGCUGAGACGCGAAAGCGUGGGGAGCGAACAGG
rnacentral:rRNA from 1 species